CCGAGCCCGGGUCGGUAUCGGACGGUCUCGCCUCGCGCGGUGCUCACCAUGGUAACAGACAGGGCCGUGAAGGCAGACACCGGCCCGCACGCUGUGAACAUAUAUAUAUUUUUAAAAUUAAUAAACACAGCCCGCUAUGGCUGCAUCGACCCCCACACACACACAACCAUAAAUUAUUUAUGGACAUUGAGUGUGGAGUAAGGAGGAGGGGAGGACUCCGGUUACUUUUUAAAAUUUCUUGUCAAAGGGUGGCAGUUUCAAACGGCAAGUUUAAAAUUCCUCUCCUUGACGUGGGCGGAGGGGAAAAAAGAAGCAGAAAUCUGAAAAACUCGUCAAAAUUCAGAGAGGAGCGGGGCAGUGAAAAUCCCGCACAGGGAUGAGGCAUUGUCAACUUCUUUGAGACGUGCUGGAAGCCCAGCAGAUGCUAUCAUGCAGUCACGGUGAAUUAAAAAUGAAAAGGCUAGUAAACGAUGACUCAGCAUUUCAGCUCUCAGUAUGACCAUGGCGUGAAGGGGCAGAAACUGAAGAAAUAAAGUGUGGGCACUCUAGACAAUAAUUCAGCAAAGCUCUCGGCUGAUGACCCUCACCAUGUCGCUGAUGCCCGGCUUGGUGCGCAGGAGCAGGUUCUCCGCUCUGGGCUUGCUGUCCGCUAUGG